GACGAACGCUGGCGGCGUGCUUAACACAUGCAAGUCGAACGGAAAGGCCCUUCGGGGUACUCGAGUGGCGAACGGGUGAGUAACACGUGGGUGAUCUGCCCUGCACUUUGGGAUAAGCCUGGGAAACUGGGUCUAAUACCGAAUAGGACCACGCGCUUCAUGGUGUGUGGUGGAAAGCUUUUGCGGUGUGGGAUGGGCCCGCGGCCUAUCAGCUUGUUGGUGGGGUAAUGGCCUACCAAGGCGACGACGGGUAGCCGGCCUGAGAGGGUGACCGGCCACACUGGGACUGAGAUACGGCCCAGACUCCUACGGGAGGCAGCAGUGGGGAAUACUGCACAAUGGGCGCAAGCCUGAUGCAGCGACGCCGCGUGAGGGAUGACGGCCUUCGGGUUGUAAACCUCAUUCACCAGGGACGAAGCGUAAGUGACGGUACCUGGAGAAGAAGCACCGGCCAACUACGUG
rnacentral:rRNA from 1 species